ACACAACGAAGGAGAGGAAGAAGGGAGGAAGGCACUUCACAAGCAGAGCUGAGCCAGCAGGGCAGCAAGGCAGAAAGGGACUGAGAUUGUACCUGGAAGUAUCCCAGUGGCUGGAUAUUCAAGAUCAUUAUGUCCAUGCCAGAGAAAUCAAGUUAUACCACCACUUCUUGGCCUUUUGCCUAAGAUCAAGUGUAGAAAUCAAGUUAAACCAAACCAAGUGAGGAUUUCAGUUAUUUCUCUGAAAAGCUGGAAGUAGUCUCUUUGAAAACCAGUACAAGAUAAGGAUGCCCUUUCUUUCCACUCCUAUUCAACAUAGUAUUAGAAGUUCUGGCCAGGACAAUCAGGCAAGAGAAAGAAAUAAAGGGUAUUUAAUUAGGAAGAGAGGAAGUCUAGUUGUCUCUGUUUGCAGACGACAUGAUUGUAUAUUUAGAAAGCCCCAUCAUCUCAGCCCAAAAACUUCUUGAACUGAUAAGCAACUUCAUCAAAGUCUCAGGAUCUAAAAUCAAUGUGCAAGAAUCACAAGGAUUUAUUUACAUCAACAAUAGGCAAGCAGAAAGCCAAAUCAUAGGUGAACUCCCAUUUAUAAUUGCUACAGAGAGAAUAAAGUACCUAAGAAUACAGCUAAAAAGGGACAUGAAGGACCUCUUCAGGGAGAACUACAAAACACUGGUCAAAGAUAUAAGAGAGGACACAAAGAAAUGGAAAAACAUUUC
rnacentral:lncRNA from 10 species